rnacentral:rRNA from 1 species
UACGGGGGGGGCAAGCGUUGUUCGGAAUUACUGGGCGUAAAGGGCUCGUAGGCGGCCAACUAAGUCAGACGUGAAAUCCCUCGGCUUAACCGGGGAACUGCGUCUGAUACUGGAUGGCUAGAGGUUGGGAGAGGGAUGCGGAAUUCCAGGUGUAGCGGUGAAAUGCGUAGAUAUCUGGAGGAACACCGGUGGCGAAGGCGGCAUCCUGGACCAAUAUUGACGCUGAGGAGCGAAAGCUAGGGGAGCAAACGGG